rnacentral:lncRNA from 1 species
AUUCAAGAUGCUUUUUGUUGUUUCUGCUUGUGGGUGCUUGUUUACUCCAACAAUACGAGCUGAAAUCAAAGCCAAUUUAUGGGAGUGUUUACAAUCCACUUUGGAAGCAGCCAAAUUUAAUUGGGCUGAGUUCAUUAGAGAUGAUUUAUGCAACAAAUUGUUGAAUAUGCACAGCAAUAUCCACAAAAAUGUUAGAGGUUGCAUCUUAUUUCUAUUGGUAAGCUAAGAAAUCUCGAUUGUUAGAUGAUCUCAGCAUAUGUUUAAGUAGGUACCUACAUGCAAAAAUAACAAAAUGCCUCUUGAAUUCAUCCCCGAUGUUCAUGUAUAUUAGCUCCUCUACUAUCUAAUGUUAGUUGUACUUCUUCUUUCUAGAAUAUUGUGGGUCGCUCUCAGCUCCACCAUCUCUUGCUUCUUUCAUCAAUACUGGCCCCUCGUCGAGAAUUCCAAAAUCCUCUGCUAUAUAUUCCAAUGUUACAAGUAGCACAUGCCUAUUCUCCAGUUAUAUAUAUGAGUGAGUUGGGUUGAAAUUAUUCACCAACGAUGUGCAUAUGUCCUUCAAAAGGGUAUCGCAUUGGAUCUCCAAUAAUCCAUUGAAACCUAUUUCUUGGAUCACAGCUUUUUCACCUCAUCAAUAUGAGAUACAAACUUAAAGAGUUUAGCGUUUGUGCACCUAAAGGUGUAAGUGUGCAAACAAAAAAAAAAUUAACAAUGUGAGAAAAAAAUAAUGCACAACAACCAAACAAUUGCACCAGCGCUUUGAAACUUAUGAAAAUUUUGAUUCAUCAAACAUAAAGUCUGGUGCUACAUCCUUACUUGUCUUCCUGCAUCACUCUCUGUGGCUUCUCCCUAUUGGCUAUCGACUCCUUGUAGACCUUCAUCUGUUCCUUAUAUUGCUUCAUAUUCUUGGAGGCAUCAUUCUUCCUUACCACCUUCUCCUUAUCACUUAGUUUUUUUAACGUUUUUCUAGCAACUAUAUUCACCUCCCUCGUUGUUAAUGCCUUUUCUAUUGCUUUUUGCUUCCUUGCAAAAACAAUCCUGGCAUAAUUUAAUGUGAUUAGACCUGCCACAUAUACAUUUGAUGAAUCAUGAUAUUUUACCUAAUUCAAAACCUCAAACAUAAUCAAUAGACCUUUUGAAAAGGCACAUAUACCUAUGGGCAAAGAAAUCAAUUGGUGGCUUAAUUGGCUUUACUGGAUUACUGUCAGAGUAUUCCUGCAGCUGCUUGCCUUUAUCUUCUUUAGGAUUCAGCUUCUUGGUUCUCCAAUAUCCUGUGAUGUAAUGUUUCAAACUAUAUCAUAGGAACGAAAUCAUUAUAUUUGUAACAAAUGAAAUGCAAACUAAUGUACAAGUUGAGAUACUAAAACACAAACUAAUCCAUUAUAUUUGCUACAAAUAAAUUCUGUUUUCCUUAAAAAUAUUUAUACAUUUCACAAUUGUAUUCUCAAUCUACCAUUAUAAAAAUAAAUGACAUGAUAAAAAUAUAACUAUAAAAGAAAUUAAACAUAUCCUUCAGAAACUGACUGUGGUAUGCAAUCACAAAUUAAAGAAGCCAAGAAUAAAAAAAUCCAAAAAUAAUAGCUUAAAAACCUUCCAUACAAACAAUGGCAGGUCACCCAAUGAUUUGACUAAUCAAAUUAAAUACCUUGCAAGCAUGAGAAAUUAGAGCUCAAAUAAAGUUAGUAAUACAAGUGUAAGAGGACCAAAUUGCUACAAAAAUCAGAGGUCAACAAAUUAACACACCACAAGUACAAUUUGUAGUUAAAUUCACUUAACUGUAACAUGGUCAGUUGAAUUCACUUAAGAUAAUCCAGCAUGAACUAAUUAAUAUUUUCCAUUCCUGAAUCCUCAUAAGUAUCGGUUUUGGCAUGAUCACAUCAUUAUGAUGAAUGACCAUAGGAAACAUAAAAACACAUAGGACUGUUCACAUCAUUAGACUAAGGCAGUUUUAGUCUUUCCUCCUCUUUUUUGCAGGAUCUAUCUAAUUCAAAUUCCAAAAGAUUGCAAGCCCAUAAUGGGAGAGUUGGAGAGAGAUAUGCAAAAAGUUUUGUCUGAAUAACUUAAUCAACUGCACAUCAAUGGUCUUCUGGGGAUGAAAAUGAUCUGAAUUCCCAUACUUUAUAUAGUAAAUUGAGUAGUAUAUUAAUCCAAAGACAAAAAUCGAAAUGCAAAUUUGAAGAAUAAGAGCAUGCACAUCAGACCUCUUAAAGUUCCCUAACAAAGGAACUCCUAGGUACCUAAAAAGCCACAGCUAAAUGACUAUGCUUUGGGUUUGUUCUUUACCUUGUACAAUGUGCACAAAGUACAGAAUAGCGUGUACAAACACAGUGACAAUUUGUAAACUAUAAUAAAUAAUAUGUACAAGAUAAAUAGCAAUUGAUACAAACAAUAUAACAAUAUGCCACAGCUAAUUAGUUUUCCUAAACCCUCGUUCCAAAUGUAUCUUUGUUGAGACUGCAAAACCCUAAACCAUAAUAACUAAUUAAUAGCAGUAACAAUUUGUAAACCAUGAUAACCAAUAUGUAAAUCAAAAUAACAAUCUCUUAGAACUAAUUUGUAAAUGUUAGGAUUCAAGCGUGGAACACAUGACUAUUGAGAUAUCAAGUAUACAAUAAUUUAAUGACAAACAAAUUAUAAACAUGAAAGAUAAACGGCAUAUAAUAUUUAAUUUGGUUCGGCUCAACCAUUGAGUGUACGUCUAUGGAAGAAAAUCUGUUCUUUAUUAUGAGAGAAAAAAUCCUACACAAGAAUACAACUUAAAUCCAAACACAACCCUUAAAUACCAACUCUCAUCUCCCAAGAACCCUCUCUUACAUCCCGUGUAUAAGGCUACAUGUUGUCCUUGUGUGCUCUUGUAUAUCUCUUGUGUGUCCAUUGUAUGUUUCUUUGUAGUAUGCCAACCCACUUAUUUAUAGAUAAUAUAUUAUUUGAUCAAAAAACCAAAUAAUAACAGGAAAUUAGUGCUAAUUCUUAGAGUUGUAUAGAAUAAGAAAUAAUUUCUAAAUUCUAAACAAAAUGAGAAAUUUCUUGGUUGCUAUUUCAAGUAAUUAAAACCAAUUAGAAAACUAGUUACUUUCACAUAAAUUAAGAAACCUGCCUAAAAGAAAUUAAAUUAAUUUCUUAACAAAUCUCUAUUUUCGCGAAUAUUUUUUUAGCAAUCAUUUGCUUUCAACUACCAAAUAAUAUGAUACCGAACUAUACAUUCGAAUCAAUAUAGUCAUGACAUUAAUUGAUUCAAUUGACAAAUAAACAUGUGUAGUUACCCCGAAUCUAACCUCCAAUUGACUUGUAAGAAAGUGUUUCAAUUCAUCAUCUCCCUUUGCAAGAUUUUUUCUCACCACCACUUGCAAUUUGGGAUUUCCUUUUAUGAGUUCUAACCAUAGACGCGAUCAAGUGAUAAAAUCACCAUACUUCUUCCCAUUGCCUUUAUCUUCUUUAGGAUUCAGCUUCUUGGUUCCCCAAUAUCCUGUGACGUAAUGUUCCAAACUAUAUCAUAGGAACGAAAUCAUUAUAUUUGUAACAAAUAAAAUGCAAACUAAUGCACAAGUUGAGAUACUAACACACAAACUAAUCCAUUAUAUAUGCUACAAAUAAAUUCUUUUUUUCCUAAAAAUAUUCAUACAUUUCACAAUUGUAUUCUCAAUCUACCAUUGUAAAAAUAAAUGACAUGAUAAAAAUAUAACUAUAAAAGAAAUUGAACAUAUCCUUCAGAAACUGACUGUGGUAUGCAAUCACACAGUAAAGAAGCCAGAAAUAAAAAAUCCAAAAAUAAUAGCUUAAAAAAUGUUCAGUACAAACAAUGGCAGGUCACCCAAUGAUUUGACUAAUCAAAUUAAAUACCUUGCAAGCAUGAGAAAUUAGAGCUCAAAUAAAGUUAGUAAUACAAGUGUAAGAGGACCAAAUUGCUGGUCAAUAGAAUUGAAAUUAGAGAUCAGAUAAAGUCUACAAAAAUCAGAGGUCAACAAAUUAACACAAACACAAGUACAAUUUGUAGUUAAAUUGACUUAACUGUAACAUGGUCAGUUGAAUUCACUAAAGAUAAUCCAGCAUGAACGAAUUAAUAUUUUCCAUUCCUGAAUCCUCAUAAGUAUCGGUUUUGGCAUGAUCACAUCAUUCUGAUGAAUGAUCAUAGAAAACAUAAAAACACAUAGGACUGAUCACAUCAUUAGACUAAGGUAGUUUUAGUCUUUCCUCCUCUUUUUUGUAGGAUCUAUCUAAUUCAAAUUCCAAAAGAUUACAAGCCCAUAAUGGGAGAGUUGGAGAGAGACAUGCAAAAGGAUUUCUUCUCACUACCACUUGCAAUUUGGGAUUCCCUUUUAUGAGUUCUAACCAUUGAGGCGACCAAGUGAUAAAAUCACCAUAGUUCUUCCCAUUCUCAGAACUGUCUCACCAUGUGUGGUUUCCAAGACUCCACCCGCAAUGUAAAACUUGUAGCCAUCAGAUUUUUCUGGCAUUUGAAAAUUAGAUUCUUUUAUUUUCUUUAGGACACAUGCCACACCACCUAAAGAAUAUAAUUUGAAUAUAAAAAUCAUCUGGGAUGAAGUAUCAACCAUUGGAGUUGUGAGAAAGUUUCCACCGAUUCACAUCCAAAAUUUGAAUUCCACCUUUUCCUUGACCCUUGAACCACCUGUCUAGAUUCAUCAUCAAGUAUCUCCAUGCUUUUCAACUUUCCAUCUUUCACCUUCAAUGUUUUUUACGAAACUCUUGAAACAAGAAUAUCACCUAUUAAAUUGUUUAAUUGGUUAUAGCCACCAACUCACUUGAUCUCAAUAGUUAACCAGGAUCCAACUAUGAACCCCGCUCUGAUAUCAGUUUGUUGGGAUUCAAAUGCUUGUGAGCAACCCAGUUUUGCAACCAAACUCUGAUACUACUUGUUAGGAUCUAAACGCGAAACACAUGACUAUUGAGAUAUUAAGUAUACAUCAAUUAAUGACAAACAAGUCACAAGCAUGAAAGAUAAAUGACAAAUAAUAUUUAACGUGGUUUGCCUCAACCAUUGAGUCUACGUCCACGGAGAGAAAAUUCAUUCUUUAUGAUGAAAGAAAAAAUUCUGUAUAAGAAUAGAACUUGAAUCCAAAUACAACCAUUGUAUACCAUCUCUCAUCUCUCAAAAACCCUCUUUUACAAUCCAUGUAUAAAACUACAUGUCGCUCUUGUGUGCUCUUGUGUGUCCCUUAUAUAUCUUUUUGUAAUAUAUCAACUUACCUAAUUAUAGAAAACAUUGGGCUUGUUUGGAAGUUAGGUUUUUAGGCAAGUUUUUUACCUACUAGUUUCUUAACAACUUUUGCUACAGGAUCCCAAAAACUUCUCAAAAUUUUUUACUUACACACUUCAAAAUAUCCAAAACAUAUAAAAAAACAUUUCCCUUCACUUUUUUUCUUCUUCCUCCCCCAUCCCAACCCACUACCACCUCCAUCGCCGACCACCACGUUCGGCGCCGUUUCCCCUUUUUUUUUUGGCCUUUCUUCCUCUCCCCACCAUCUUCCCCUGUCAUCCCCUCCCUUUACCCAGUUUGUAUGACCCCUUUUUUUUAAAAAAAAAAAAAAAAUUCCCUUCCCCCACUCCUCCCCCAUCACCCUUCCAUCUCGGCUGGGACAAAUUCGCGGACAACUGAACGGAGCACCAUUGCUGUAGCUGCAACUGAGCCAACUGUGGACAAAAUGGUCUGCCAGGCCAUGGCUAAAUUGAAGCUGGAUGAUUCUGGCAUUUUCUUGGAAUGGCAUGGGAAGUAACUUAGGAUCUGAAAAUGGGUUUUUGAAAUUGGAGAUUUCUUAUGUUUCAGAAAAAUUGGGAUUGAAGAAAGUCGGUUGAAAAUUGGUAGUGGUAGUAGGUAUACAAAAAAAAGUGUCGAGGGAAGGGGUAUUUGUAGCAGGUAAGUUUGAACAUCUAGAGCUAGGAAAGGUGUCAUGGAAGUCUCGUUUGGCCUGUGGAAACCAGCGUUGACUUUGAAAUCAUCUUUCCCAACUGCUGGAGGAGCAAGUGGUGGUGCAAGAGGUGGGCCUGGUGGUGGAGUUGGGGGUGGAGCAGGCGGGAGAGUAGGAGGGGCUGGUGGAGGCAUUGGUGGUGGUGCCAGAGGUGGAGCAGGUGGAGGCGUGGGAGGAGGGGCUGGAGGAGGCCUUUGCGAAGGUGCUGGAGGUGGGGCCGGUGGCGGAGUAGGGGGUGGAGCAAGCUGCGUUGCUGCUGGGAGGCGGAGGUAAUGGGGAAGGGGAGAAGAAGAAGAAGAAGAGAGGAAAGAAAAGAAAAAGGAAAGAAAGAAAAUGAAAAAGAAAGAGAAAGAGAAAAAAAAAGAAAAGGAAAAAAAAAGUUUUUCAUUUUACAAAAAAGUUUCUACAAAAAAAUUUUUUAUCUUACAAAAACUUCUACUUACAAAAACUUCUACAAAAUUUUUUCAAAAACUUUUACGGUGCACUACAGUAAAGUUUUAGACAAACUCUCAAAAAACUCAGGUUCCAAACAGGCCAAUUAUUUGGCCAAAAAGCCAAAUAACAACAGGAAAUCAAUGCUAAUUCCUUGACUUGUACAGAAUAGGAAAUAAUUUCUAAAUUCUAAACAAAAUAGGAUAUUCCUUAGUUGCUACUUUAAGUAACUAAAACCAAUUAGGAAACUAGUUACUUCCAUAUAAAUUAAGAAAUCUGUCUAAAAAAAAUUAAAUCAAUUUUCUAAUAGUAAACCAUAAUAACUGUUGUGUAUAAAGGUAAAUAGCAAUUGAUACAAACAACAUAACAAUCUGUCACAGCAAAUUAGUUUUCCUAAACCCUCAAACUGAGUGUAUCUUUGUUGAGGCUGCAAAACCCCAAACCAUAAUAACUAAUUAAUAACAAUAACAAUUUAUAAACCAUAAUAAUCAAUAUGUAAACCAUAAUAACAAGUUGUCAGAACUAAUUUGUACUAAAUUGUACAAGGUAAAUAGCAAUUGGUACAAAUGACAAAACAAUCUAUCAGAGCUAAUUUGUCAGCCUAAACCCUCAAUCUGUACUGUAUUUGUUUUCGUAAAUCCUAAACCUGAAUAUAUUUGUUUCCCUAAACCGUAAACAUCAGUGUUAGGAUAAAAGAGGGAAAACCAAGAUUCUUACCUUUGGAAACCGUAGACCCUUGGAUUAUACAGUAUUGACCUGCAAUUUCAAUUAGUGCACCACUUUUGCCACUCUCCCGUUGUGAUUUCACAAUUGGCUCCCUCUGUGAUUUACGGAUAUCCGCUCAAACAUAUGAUUUGCACCACUUUUCCUUCUGCCAAUCUCAGCCGGAGUGAGUUCAAUUGAAAGAGGGAAACACACAACUCCAUGGUAAAGGUUUUUCAAAAAAGGAUUUUCAUAAUAUUGAUGGUCGAAGAGAAUUUUAAUUUUAUUUGGUGAUAACAGUUGGUUCUUCUUUGGUCGGGAUUAAUUUUUACUGUAGAAAAGGCUUUGGGACCUUCAGCAAACAGUGUUUGGUUUUUGUUUAAAAUUUCUCGUCUAAUAUUUUAAACCAUG